UAUCGAAAGUUUAGAGAAUAUGGUGCUUUCAAUUUUUUGAUUUUUAGAUCAACCCCUUUAAUCAUUUUUUUUGAAUUAAUACUUUUAUUAUCUUGUAGGGACCACUCAAUCCUAGGAAUAUUAUUUAAUCCUAGGAGGGACCGCAAUCAUCCCAACCAUAUAAUUCUUUAAUCAAAUGGUCAAAAAUUCGAAAACAUCAAAUCCUCUAUAUUUUCGAUAGCAUGAUAGUUCUACACUAUAUAUAUAUAUAUUUAAAAAUAUAUAAAUAUAAUAUAUUUUAAUUAUAUAUAGGCUGAGUGAAUAAUCUAAGUUUAGUUAAAAUUGGGCCAAUGUUGUUGGCCCAUAAAAACAAACCCAAUAGACAAAUAAAAAAGCAAAAUUUCACUAAAUUUAUAUAUUUUUCCUUUCUUUCUUUCUUUCACAUAACUCUAAAUUUUCAAUAUAUUUCUCUCUUUCUCUUUUUCUGUCUCUCACCCUAAGCAGCCAAGCCGGAAGCUCUCCAAGUUACCAAGUAACAGUAUAUGCCUGCCGUUAUCUACCUUGCUAUUAAUUGUAUGCUUGAGAAAAUAUACAGAAUAUUUUUAAAGUAAAAAAUUAUUAUUCAUAUAAAAUUUUAAUUUUUGUUAUAUAUGAUUGGAUAGUUUAAUCCAAUAUUUAUCUAUAUAAUUUAUUUAUUUUUGACUGUAUAAAUGAAAAUGAAUAAUAUGAAGAUUGAAGGCAGAAGAAAAGACAUGUGAGGCUGAAAAGAUUAGAUAUUCAACUCAAAAAUUAUUUUUUUUCAUAUUAUAAAACUGUAUUUUAUAUAAUUAUUUUGUACUUUGAACUAUUAGAUAUAUUUUUGUAUCAAAUUAUAGAUAAUGUUCUAUACAAAUUAAACUAUUGAUCGUAUGAUGUUGAGAAUUUCAAGCGGCUCGUUUAGGGCUCGAGCUCGCUCGACUCGAAAUUAGGCUCGCUCGAGCUCGGCUCGAAUUAAUUUCAAUCCAAGCUUGAGCUUAAAUUUAAGCUCGAAAUUAAUUUCAAGCCGAAUUUGAGCCGAGCUAAGCUCGCUCGAGCUCGGCUCGUU
rnacentral:lncRNA from 1 species